rnacentral:rRNA from 1 species
GACAGAGGGUGCAAACGUUGUUCGGAAUUACUGGGCGUAAAGCGCGUGUAGGCGGUCGUGCAAGUCGGGUGUGAAAGCCCAGGGCUCAACCCUGGAAGUGCAUUCGAUACUGCAUGGCUAGAGUCCCGGAGAGGAUGGUGGAACUCUCGGUGUAGAGGUGAAAUGCGUAGAUAUCGGAAGGAACACCGGUGGCGAAAGCGGCGCGCUGGACCCCUUCUGACGCUGAGGCGCGAAAGCGUGGGGAGCAAACAGG